CCUACGGGAGGCAGCAGUGGGGAAUUUUGCGCAAUGGGGGAAACCCUGACGCAGCAACGCCGCGUGCGGGAUGACGGCCUUCGGGUUGUAAACCGCUUUCAGUAGGGACGAACUUUGACGGUACCUACAGAUGAAGCCCCGGCUAACUACGUGCCAGCAGCCGCGGUAAUACGUAUGGGGCAAGCGUUAUCCGGAUUUACUGGGUGUAAAGGGAGCGUAGGCGGCCUGGCAAGCCUGAUGUGAAAUACCGGGGCCCAACCCCGGGGCUGCAUUGGGAACUGCCAGGCUGGAGUGCCGGAGAGGCA
rnacentral:rRNA from 1 species